AUACUUACCUGGACGGGGUUGAAGGGCGAUCAAGAAGGCCCAUGGCCUAGACUUGUGACCUCCAUUGCACUUUGGAGGGGUGCUAGCCUAAGGUCGGCCCAAGUGGUCGAACCUACGUUAUAAUUUGUGGCAGUGGGAGCCUGCGUUCGCGCAGCCCCUAU
rnacentral:snRNA from 1 species